rnacentral:lncRNA from 1 species
CCUGCGCGGUCCUCCUGCAAGAAGCGGUGGCAGAGAAGGACUUCAUGGAGCCGGAAGUGUGGAAUGCUGUGGGGCUCAUUUGCUGUGCACACACGAGCCCCUUGCAAAGGCACAGGAAAUAAUAUGUGGACAACUUUGAACAAUGCAGUGACAAGAGCCUGGACACUCUGGGUAGAGGUCUCCAUCUCUCUGUACCUAAGAUCUCCCCAGCUUUCACCACCAGUGUUCAAUCGGCUGGCAUUAAGGUCUCUAUCACAAGGGAUCUCUUCUCCCAAUGCCUCUGUAACAGUAUUCUCAACAACUGUUCUAUCAACAUGUUUGGAAGAUACCCUUUCAGAAAAUGGAGCCCAGGUCCUCACCCUGGAC